GGUCUAUAGCUCAGUGGUAGAGUGCUUACCUAGCAUGUGUGAGGCACUGGGUUCGGUCCUCAGUACCA
rnacentral:tRNA from 1 species